GGAGAACACAUAUUCUCACAGUUUUCACAUGUGUGCGUUUGCUCUUCUACUAUUUUACUCAUAGUUGGCUGUUUGUGAUGCAUUCCAGCCUCCCUGGGAUACAGAAAUUGGCAACAAGUUCAUCAUUCAUUACACUUAUGGAUGUGAUUAUGACAUGAAGGGUAAGUUGACCUAUGGAAAGAUUGGAGAAUGGAGAUUUGACAAAAGAUCCUAUGAUACUGUCUGGCCU